rnacentral:rRNA from 1 species
GACGAACGCUGGCGGCGUGCCUAAUACAUGCGAGUUGAGCGCUGAAGGUUGGUUCUUGUACCAACUGGAUGAGCAGCGAACGGGUGAGUAACGCGUGGGGAAUCUGCCUUUGAGCGGGGGACAACAUUUGGAAACGAAUGCUAAUACCGCAUAAAAACUUUAAACACAAGUUUUAAGUUUGAAAGAUGCAAUUGCAUCACUCAAAGAUGAUCCCGCGUUGUAUUAGCUAGUUGGUGAGGUAAAGGCUCACCAAGGCGAUGAUACAUAGCCGACCUGAGAGGGUGAGCGGCCACAUUGGGACUGAGACACGGCCCAAACUGCUACGGGAGGCAGCAGUAGGGAAUCGUCGGCAAUGGACGAAAGUCUGACCGAGCAACGCCGCGUGAGGGAAGAAGGUUUUCGGAUCGUAAAACUCUGUUGGUAGAGAAGAACGUUGGUGAGAGUGGAAAGCUCAUCAAGUGACGGUAACUACCCAGAAAGGGACGGCUAACUACGUG